ensembl:snoRNA SNORA62 Small nucleolar RNA SNORA62/SNORA6 family
GCUGCACAUUGUUAGAGGCUGGAGUUGGGGCCAUUGGCUGGCUGAGGAGCUCACAAGUGUGGAUAGUGCACUGCACGAGGGGCAAGUGUUUCACUAACACCGCAAGGGGCUUUAUCCAGAUGAGUGGAGUUUGAUAGUAAUUAUUUCUACAAGU